ACCUCACCCCAUUCCUAAGAGGUCUGUAAGGGGCGUGCAUAAGUGCACCAUCUUGCCUACUGUCCCUGUCCUAUUGUCCCCUUUUAAUUGUACCUGUUUCCUGUAUUCUUACUCAUGUUUAUACUUAUACCUAGUAUCUUGUAAGCGAUUGACAAAUAAAAUAAAUAAAUAAAUAAAUAAAUAAAUAAGUGUGACAAAGGUCGUAAGUCCCCUUUUUCCAGCCCCAUUGUAACUUCCAACAGUCACUAAAAUGAACCGUUGUAAGUCAAGGACCGCCUGUAUACAGAAUCAUUCUGCCCACAGACAUUCAAAGGGGAAGAAACAAGAAAGGUCUCCAUUUAAAUCAAAAAUUCAAAUCAGAUCCUAUUGUUUGGGAUUCUCUCUCUCUCUCUCUGUUGGCCCUUGUGCUUUGAAGCAAAAUUUGGAAGGCUUUCAAAGAGAUCCAGACGCUGUGAUGAGCCUCUAGACCCGAAGCCAGCCAGCCAUGAUAUUCCCUGCAACGGAGGCCCAAGUUGGACUUUCGAAGAAGCAGAGAGGAACAAUACCGGCUUCCUUGAACCUGGCGAUGGAGACAAACUUCGGGCCUCCGCUUCCUCGCAGCACAGGUCGCUGGCCCGACUCUCACAGGAGAAGGAGGGGAAGGAGGCGCAAACAAAAGCUCUCGUUUCCAUGACAUUCACUCCUCCUUCCUGGGCAGGCGUCGGGCAACGCUCAGCUCCGCGGUUAAGCAACCGCUGGGCCGGACGGUAAGAUGGGGCGAAGCCGAGCCCAGCUUAGCUGGAGCGGAUGGCCUUGCUGAUUUUGGACUUCCCUUCUUGCAAAGCCCAGCAUGGAUGCUCAGCCUGUGGUCAUGACUGCAGGCUCUCUUUCUUACAUCACUCAGACUGAUUUUCCAGUCCCACUGAAAAAGUUUUAUCGGGGUGAACCUCUGGCAUUGGGGAUCACACAGAUAUUCAUAGGAAUCCUACAAAUUAUCUUUGGGAUGCUGAUCCACAUAAUUAAUGAACAUGAUAUUAUCUACCUUAUUGUAUGGAUGCCCUAUUGGAGUGGAAUCUUGGUAAUUUUACACCAGGGUUGUCAAAAUCAAUUUCAUUGAGGGCGGCAUCAGGGCUAUG
rnacentral:lncRNA from 1 species